rnacentral:lncRNA from 1 species
AAGGCUAGGUGGUUCUUCGUGGAAAUGAAGCAGAUUCCAGUAAUCCAUAUUCAACUUUUUGUGUCUCCUGGUUAGAUCAAUAUUUCUGAUUUGAUUAACAAUACAAACACCGUUAUGGAUUAUUUGUCAUCUCUAUGUUUCAUACAACCUUGGACAGAAAUGUGGUGAUGUUAUGGAUUAUUUGUCAUCUCUAUGUUUCAUACAACCUUGGACAGAAAUGUGGUGAUGGAUAGACGAUGGUGCAGUAACAGAGUGAUGCAUGUAUAUUGGUAAAUGUUAUUCUUUUUUUUUUUCACCUAUUUUACGUUGUGUUACCUCACUGCCAUAUGAGAUAUGUGAAGAGUGCAUGUAUUUUUC